AGAGUUUGAUCCUGGCUCAGAGUGAACGCUGGCGGUAGGCCUAACACAUGCAAGUCGAACGGCAGCACAGUAAGAGCUUGCUCUUACGGGUGGCGAGUGGCGGACGGGUGAGGAAUACAUCGGAAUCUACUUUUUCGUGGGGGAUAACGUAGGGAAACUUACGCUAAUGCCGCAUACGACCUACGGGUGAAAGCAGGGGAUCUUCGGACCUUGCGCGAUUGAAUGAGCCGAUGUCGGAUUAGCUAGUUGGCGGGGUAAAGGCCCACCAAGGCGACGAUCCGUAGCUGGUCUGAGAGGAUGAUCAGCCACACUGGAACUGAGACACGGUCCAGACUCCUACGGGAGGCAGCAGUGGGGAAUAUUGGACAAUGGGCGCAAGCCUGAUCCAGCCAUACCGCGUGGGUGAAGAAGGCCUUCGGGUUGUAAAGCCCUUUUGUUGGGAAAGAAAUCCAGCUGGUUAAUACCCGGUUGGGAUGAUGGUACCCAAAGAAUAAGCACCGGCUAACUUCGUGCCAGCAGCCGCGGUAAUACGAAGGGUGCAAGCGUUACUCGGAAUUACUGGGCGUAAAGCGUGCGUAGGUGGUUGUUUAAGUCUGUUGUGAAAGCCCUGGGCUCAACCUGGGAACUGCAGUGGAAACUGGACGACUAGAGUGUGGUAGAGGGUAGCGGAAUUCCUGGUGUAGCAGUGAAAUGCGUAGAGAUCAGAGGAACAUCCAUGGCGAAAGCAGCUACCUGGACCAACACUGACACUGAGGCACGAAAGCGUGGGGAGCA
rnacentral:rRNA from 1 species